GCCGGGGCCCACCCCUGGGAAUCCAGACACAAGAGCUGAAAUGGGGUUGAGAAAAGUUCAAAUUCAAAACAGGUUCCGGUGCUGAGGCGAAUUUGCGUCUACUUGCUGCGGAGGGAUACCAAUGAGAGCGUGGAAGACUCAACCCAACGACAGUACUUCAAUCAAGAUGGGCAUUAUUCGAUGAGUGAAGUCUAAUUCGUGAACAACACUUGUGAAGGACAGCAGUAGAGAUACACCAACAUGAACGCCCUGAUGAGUUCAGCAUUAAAGGACCAUUCGAAUGUGAUUGCAGAUUCCAUCUGACUUCGCUAGAAUGUCAUCCUGCUAGUCAUCGGAGUACUGAAUGGCUUCACUGCUGGCUCAAAG